GUCCACGCUGUAAACGAUGUGUGCUAGACGUUGGGGAGCCUAGCUCUUCGGUGUCGCAGCAAACGCUUUAAGCACACCGCCUGGGGAGUACGGCCGCAAGGUUAAAACUCAAAGGAAUUGACGGGGGCCGCACAAGCGGUGGAGCAUGUGGUUUAAUUCGACGCAACGCGCAGAACCUUACCAGCUCUUGACAUGCCCGGUAUGGGGCCGAGAGAUCGGCUUCUUCGGUUCGGCCGGCCGGGACACAGGUGCUGCAUGGCUGUCGU
rnacentral:rRNA from 1 species